GAGGGUGUAGCUCAGUGGUAGAGCGUGUGCUUAGCAUGCACGAGGUCCUGGGUUCAAUCCCCAGUGCCUCCA
rnacentral:tRNA from 1 species